ensembl:lncRNA
CUCCACUCUUUUGGGAAGUUUUUCCACUAGAUGUUGGAACAUUGCUGCGGGGACUUGCUUCCAUUCAGCCACAAGAGUAUUAGUGAGGUCGGUCACUGAUGUUGAGGGUGAUUAGGCCUGGCUCGCAGUCGGCGUUCCAAUUCAUCACAAAGAUGUUUUUUGGGGUUGAGGUCAGGGCUCUGUGCAGGCCAGUCAAGUUCUUCCACACCGAUCUUGACUAACCAUUUCUGUAUGGACCUCACUUUAUGCACGGGGGCAUUGUCAUGCUGAAACAGGAAAUGACCUUCCUCAAACUGUUGCCACAAAGUUGGGGGCACAGAAUCGUCUAGAAUGUAAUUGUGUACUGUAGCAUUAAGAUUUCUUUUCACUGGAAGUAAGGGGCCUGAACCAUGAAAAACAGCCCCAGACCAUUAUUCCUCCUCCACCAAACUUUACAGUUGGCACUAUGCGUUCUCCUGGCAUUCUCCAAACCCAGAUUCGUCCGUGGGAUUGCCAGAUGGUGGAGCGUGAUUCAUCACUUCAGAGAACGCGUUUCCACUGCUCCAGAGUCCAAUGGCGGCGAGCUUUACACUACUCCAGCCGACGCUUGGCAUUGCGCAUGGUGAUCUUAGGCUUGUAUGCGGCUGCUCUGCCAUGAAAACCUAUUUCAUGAAGGUCCCGACUAACAGUUACUGUGCUGACGUUGCUUCCAGAAGCAGUUUGGAACUCGUACUGAGUGUUGCGACUGAGGACAGACGACUGUUACGAGCUACGAACUACAGCACUCGACAAUCCCGUUCUGUGAGCUUGUGUGGCCUACCACUUUGCGGCUAAGCCGUUGUUUCCCCUAGACUUGUUCACUUCACAAUAACAGCACUUACAGCACUUGUUAGUGAUGAUUCUGCUAUCAGAGAUGAUCUCCCAUUGGUUGUUGGUGAUCUAGCUGCUAUCAGAGAUGAUCUCCCAUUGGUUGUUGGUGAUCGAGCUGCUAUCAGAGAUGAUCUCCCAUUGGUUGUUGGCGAUCGAGCUGCUAUCAGAGAUGAUCUCCCAUUGGUUGUUGGCGAUCUAGCUGCUGUCAGAGAUGAUCUCCCAUUGGUUGUUGGCGAUCUAGCUGCUAUCAGAGAUGAUCUCCCAUUGGUUGUUGGCGAUCUAGCUGCUGUCAGAGGUGAUCUCCCAUUGGUUGUUGGCGAACGAGCUGCUAUCAGACCUGAUAUCUUCCCCCAUGGUGGUCUGUGGCCAUGUUCUCAACAUUUCAGGCGUCUCAAAUGGCACCCUAUUCCCGAUGUUAUAGUGCACUACUUUUGACCAGGGUCCAUUGGGUAGGGAACUAUAUGGGGGUGCCAUUUGGGAUGUUGCCCACGGCUGCCUCAUACUGUUGUUUUGAUCACUCCCCUCCUGCUGAUACAGGAUUGUAUUCAUUAGGUAUCAAACGGAAGACGACUUGGACUUGUCCAAUAAUAACCGACUGGUUUUGUUUUCAGUUGAAAAAUGUCCUCAAUCAUCGCCUGAUCUCAAUGUUUGUACAUAGAAUAAGUGAUUGUAGGGCCUUUUAAACACAUCUACAAUGAUGAUCUGUCUCUCUCUGAGGAUGGGUGAGGAUUUCAACCAUAAUGAUGACCUGUCUCUCUGAGGAUUUCAACCAUAAUGAUGACCCGUCUCUCUGGGGAUGGGUGUGGAUUUCAACCAUAAUGAUGACCCGUCUCUCUGAGGAUUUCAACCAUAAUGAUGACCCGUCUCUCUGAGGAUGGGUGAGGAUUUCAACCAUGGUAAAAAAAAAAUGCACACUACUCUUGACCUUCUGAGGUCAUACACCUCAGCAAGAACCUCUGCUGUCACUCCGUAUCUAAUUCUGCAGUCCUGAACUUAGAGGAGUUCCCUUUCUGAUCACAAAACAAUCGCUAGGUGAUGUUAUGAAGGAAGUGGUGCUUCGAUGUUUAAAGGGUUUCCGUCAUAUGUUCUAUUUUUAUUUAUAUAUAUUUUUUUUUUCUUCCCGAAAAUGUUGUAAAUGAAAUGUUGUAUCCAGGUUAUAUUCAACUAGAAGACAUUAUCUGAAAUGUGUGGAAUGUAGAAGUUUACUACCAUUAAUGUCGGCCUAAGCCAAGUUGGCUUCUUUUCUGUCAUCUAUAUUUUUUUAUUAUUAUUCACUUUUGAUACUGUGAAAACCUUUUCAUUCAGAAAGAUUAAAACAUCGC